rnacentral:rRNA from 1 species
AAAAGGAAGAGAAUCACUUCUAUGAUGCAGUCGACGAACUCUGGUAUUGAUUGGUGCUUGCAUCAUGAUUUACAUUUGAGUGAGUGGCGAACUGGUGAGUAACACGUGGGAAACCUGCCCAGAAGCGGGGGAUAACACCUGGAAACAGAUGCUAAUACCGCAUAACAACUUGGACCGCAUGGUCCGAGUUUGAAAGAUGGCUUCGGCUAUCACUUUUGGAUGGUCCCGCGGCGUAUUAGCUAGAUGGUGAGGUAACGGCUCACCAUGGCAAUGAUACGUAGCCGACCUGAGAGGGUAAUCGGCCACAUUGGGACUGAGACACGGCCCAAACUCCUACGGGAGGCAGCAGUAGGGAAUCUUCCACAAUGGACGAAAGUCUGAUGGAGCAACGCCGCGUGAGUGAAGAAGGGUUUCGGCUCGUAAAACUCUGUUGUUAAAGAAGAACAUAUCUGAGAGUAACUGUUCAGGUAUUGACGGUAUUUAACCAGAAAGCCACGGCUAACUACGUGCCAGCAGCCGCGGUAAUACGUAGGUGGCAAGCGUUGUCCGGAUUUAUUGGGCGUAAAGCGAGCGCAGGCGGUUUUUUAAGUCUGAUGUGAAAGCCUUCGGCUCAACCGAAGAAGUGCAUCGGAAACUGGGAAACUUUGAGUGCAGAAGAGGACAGUGGAACUCCAUGUGUAGCGGUGAAAUGCGUAGAUAUAUGGGAAGAACACCAGUGGCGAAUGCGGCUGUCUGGUCUGUAACUGACGCUGACGCUCGAAAGUAUGGGUAGCAAACAGGAUUAGAUACCCUUGGUAGUCCAUACCGUAAACGAUGAAUGCUAAGUGUUGUAGGGUUUCCCGCCUUUCAGUGCUGCAGCUAACGCAUUAAGCAUUCCGCCUGCGGAGUACGGCCGCAGGCUGAAACUCAAGGAAUUGACCGCGGGCCCGCACAAGCGGUGGUAGCAUUUGUGGAUUUAUUUCGAUAUCCUACGCCGAGAACUCUUACAGGUUCUUGACCUACUUAUGGCUAUUCUUAAAGACUAGACGUUUCCCUCUGGGGACUAUGAUAUCCAGGCUGGUCGACAUGUC